AUUGAACGCUGGCGGCAUGCCUUACACAUGCGAGUCGAACGGUAACAGGUCUUCGGAUGCUGACGAGUGGCGAACGGGUGAGUAAUACAUCGGAACGUGCCUAGUAGUGGGGGAUAACUACUCGAAAGAGUGGCUAAUACCGCAUGAGAUCUACGGAUGAAAGCAGGGGAUCGCAAGACCUUGUGCUACUAGAGCGGCCGAUGGCAGAUUAGGUAGUUGGUGGGAUAAAAGCUUACCAGGCCGACGAUCUGUAGCUGGUCUGAGAGGACGAUCAGCCACACGGGGACUGAGAGACGGCCCAGACUCCUACGGGAGGCAGCAGUGGGGAAUUUUGGACAAUGGGCGAAAGCCUGAUCCAGCAAUGCCGCGUGCAGGAUGAAGGCCUUCGGGUUGUAAACUGCUUUUGUACGGAACGAAAAGCCCCGGGUUAAUACCCUGGGGUCAUGACGGUACCGUAAGAAUAAGCACCGGCUAAUUACGUGCCAGCCGCCGCCGUAA
rnacentral:rRNA from 1 species